CCUACGGGAGGCUGCAGUGGGGAAUAUUGCACAAUGGGGGAAACCCUGAUGCAGCGACGCCGCGUGAGUGAAGAAGUAUCUCGGGAUGUAAAGCUUCAUUAGUAGGGAAGAAAAUGACGGUACCUGAGUAAGAAGCCCCGGCUAACUACGUGCCAGCAGCCGCGGUAACACGGAGGGCGCAAGCGUUAUCCGGAUUUACUGGGUGUAAAGGGAGCGUAGACGGCAGCACAAGUCUGGAGUGAAAUGUCGGGGCUUAACCCCGGAACUGCUGUUGAAACUGUGCAGCUAGAGUGCAGGAGAGGUAAGUGGAAUGCGUGGUGUAGCGGUGAAAUGCGUAGAUAUUAGGAAGAACACCGAUGGCGAAGGCAGCUUACUGGACUGUAACUGACGUUGAGGCUCGAAAGCGUGGGGAUCAAACAGGAUUAGAUACCCUUGUAGUC
rnacentral:rRNA from 1 species